GGGUGCGAUCAUACCAGCACUAAUGUACCAGAUCCCAUUAGAACUUUGAAGUUAAGUGUGCUUGGGCAAGAGUAGUACUAGGAUGGGUGACCUUCUGGGAAGCUUUCGUGUUGGACCUUUUU
rnacentral:rRNA from 1 species